rnacentral:rRNA from 1 species
UACGUAGGUGGCGAACGUUAUCCGGAAUUACUGGGCGUAAAGGGUCCGCAGGCGGAUGGCCAAGUCCGGCGUGAAAGCUCCCGGCUCAACUGGGAGAGGGCGUUGGAAACUGGCGAUCUUGAAUCACACAGAGGUCGGUGGAAUUCCCGGUGUAGUGGUGGAAUGCGUAGAGAUCGGGAGGAACCUCGAAAGCGAAGGCAACCGGCUGGGUGAGGAUUGACGCUGAGGGACGAAAGCGUGGGGAGCGAACAGG